UCAGAGGUGUGCUCUCCUGGUUCUGUUCCCUCACAACUUCUUGUGCACCCCCAGCCUCCUCAAUGAUGGGGUCAGCAAUAACUAAAGUAACUCUGCAUCAUCAAUGCUGUUUUCAGCACAAAUCCAAAACAUAACCCCAUUCCAACUACUGUGAAGAAAAUUAACUCUACCCCAGCGAAAACGAGCACAGACUGUCAGAAAUGAGAAGAAGUUCAAGAGGCCAGUUUUAGGCCCUUCAUUCCCAGGAGUUUCUCUGCUUCCUUAUACUUACCUCAGUAAGAGGGAUGUUGUGCCAGAAAUGGAAGUACGAAAUAGAGGACAUCAGAGCAUAGAGUACUUCUCCAUUCAUCAGGAAUUCUUCACUGAAUAACCAUCAGAACUCUAUGGUUCACUGGCUGGAUAUGUGGAUAAACAACUAAAGACUCAGCUCCAGGAAGAAAGACGUUUUGCUUCUUGAAGGCUACCAAGAGUAAAGGCCCUUAUCAAACCCUCUGCUUUCAGAUAUAAGAAUAAACUACUCCCAGCU